rnacentral:rRNA from 1 species
AGCAGUAGCCGCGGUAAUACGAAGGGGGCUAGCGUUGUUCGGAUUUACUGGGCGUAAAGGGCGCGUAGGCGGACUGAUAAGUCAGGGGUGAAAUCCCAAGGCUCAACCUUGGAACUGCCUUUGAUACUGUUUGUCUUGAGUUCGAGAGAGGUAAGUGGAACUGCGAGUGUAGAGGUGAAAUUCGUAGAUAUUCGCAAGAACACCAGUGGCGAAGGCGGCUUACUGGCUCGAAACUGACGCUGAGGCGCGAAAGCGUGGGGAGCAAACAGGAUUAGAUACCCCCGUAGUCCCUGUCUCUUAUAC